rnacentral:lncRNA from 1 species
GAAGACAGCAUCAGUUUUUCUCAAACAGUUUAAUAGCAAAUAAACAAAGGAAGGUACCACACUUGGCAGAUACAAAAUGACUUUUUGUCCGUGUGUCUGUGCAAUUAAAACAGAUUUAGGUUCCCCAUUGGGACAAAAGGAAAAACACACAAAAAAGGAAGGAGAAUCCUUUUAAACACAUACUCCCUUGCUUCAAACAAUUUUUUUUUUUCUUUUUUAAUCCACUACACAAACUCUGUGAUCAGGUCAGAAAAGCAAUAAGGGCUCUUCUUGCCUUUUUUUUUUUUUUAAACCAUUAAAGUAAAAUCCAUAAUUUUCUACAUAGUACAACACAAUUUCACACAAAAAAGACAUUUUCUUUUGCAAAUCAAAACAGGAAAGAAAGGAAAAGCUCAAACAAGGUAAAGAAAAAGCAUUUCUACGGCUGAAUCACGACUUUGAGUUGAUUGAAUCCCGUUUGUUGCUGCAAGAACAGACUGUGCGUUUGGUCAUAGUGGCAAUUUUUUUUUCUCUUCACAUUGUGAAAUCACUUUACAUUGUUUUCUAGUAGAAAAGGCAAAAAACUGUACAAAACCCCUAGUGUUAAAUACAACGUUUGUACCAAUAAAAAACUCACACAGGUUUGUCUCCAAAAUGUAAAGUUUCUUUUUUUUUUUUUCUUUUUAAAUUAUUCACAAAAAGCAGCUGGAAAUCAGAAAGGCAGCUGCCGCUCCAGGGUCUCAAAUCCAUUAAAACCACCACAGAACAAUUAAAACAAUCAGAGAGAGAAAAGGAAAAGAAACAAUGUCCAACGUUUGGCAUUUGGUUUUAUCCACAGGUUUUCCCAGACUGUGGGGUGCACGGCAGUCUCGCUCAGGCUGGGGUUCCUGGCCUCGUUCCAUCCAAUCACCCCUUCCAAGAAAUUAAGCAGCCUACCAUUCAUGGGGCCAUUUGGCCACCCUCUCCUCCUAGAAAGAGUGGCCCCAAGCAUAGUACUAGGCAACCUGCUGGGUCCCAGAGCAGAAGUUCUGCUGGGAUCCGCUCCUUCAUCAACCCCAGCAUGGAUGAUGCUAACAGUGCUUCUACCUUCCCCACCCCCCACCCCAGACCCUCGGCUAGCCCUCUCCACCCUUCCCUGACAAUCCUACUUCCCAGCUCUCUCACCCACCAGCAGCUCAGGCCUGGGUGGGAUCUAUCCCCAACUCCUCCCUCUGCAACCUCUUACCUCCACAGACCCAUCCUGUGACCUCUCACCUCCUCUGGCCUCUCCCUCUGCCAUUCACAUUCUUACUCAAGUCCCUAAGACCCUGAGGCUGGAUGGUGCCACAAGAGAGGAGGGCAAGUUCCCCUCAGGGAACCAAGGAACUAGCUUGCCUGGCACCCAGGGACAGUAGCUAUUUGGCUCUUCACCUGAUUUAAAAAAAAAAAAAAAAAAAAAUCCCCGCCCUUACCCCCACCCCACUAGCUAAGCAAGAGCAGAGCUGUGGUGAAGAGCCAGUGUGGGGUGGCUGGUGCCCAGGGCUGUAAACAGUGUGAAGACUGUAGUAUUGUGCUUGUCACCUAGGAAAAGCGCUGGCAGGUGUGGGGCCGCUUAGUGCACAGACGGCUUCCUCGAGUGGUUAAGAACACCCUCUUCACUCGGGGCCGAGGGAUGCUCACUACCCCUAACGCGCUAAGCCUUUCAUCCACCCACAGCCACCUUCUGGGUUCUAUCUCUGCUCCUCGGGCCUUUCUGGACCCCCUUCCCUCCCGUCUCUGAGCAGAGCAGCCGGCCUCCUGGAGGCCCCGCCGAGGCCUGGAGGCUGUACGAGGUGACAGUCUAAGUGCACAGGCAGACGCUCUAAGGGCAAUAGAGGAGAAAGUUGCCACUUCAAAAUAAAACAAUACAAUCUCGAAAAAAAAAAAAAUCA